rnacentral:rRNA from 1 species
UACGUAGGGGGCAAGCGUUGUCCGGAAUUAUUGGGCGUAAAGAGCGUGUAGGCGGCCAGAUAAGUCCGCUGUGAAAUCUCGAGGCUCAACUUCGAGCUGUCGGUGGAAACUAUCUGGCUAGAGUCCGGAAGAGGAGAAUGGAAUUCCUGGUGUAGCGGUGAAAUGCGUAGAUAUCUGGAGGAACACCGGUGGCGAAGGCGGCAUCCUGGACCGGUAUUGACGCUGAUGCGCGAAAGCCAGGGGAGCAAACGGG